UGCGCGGCAAUGGCUGCCCACGAUUGUCCGAGAGGCGGAGCGCUCGGUCUUUUUUAGGGCCGGGUCUCCAGACGCCGCCGGUGGUGCCUCGAGGCCCCGUUGCACGCAUCCGCUGCCGCAGCCGCAUCAGAACUUCAUUUCGGUGACGCUGAGCUUUGGCCAGAGCUACGGCAACCGCGAGAGCUGCCAGCGGCGCUGGUGCUGGAGGGCUGGAGUGCAGUGGCAAUCAUGGCUCACUGCAGCCUCGACCUCUUGGCUUCCAGCGUGCGUCUAAUCUCGAACCAAAUCCUCCUGCCUUAGAUCAUCCCCCAAAUCACCCAGCUACAGGUGAAAUCCUGUGAUAGUUUCCUCCAUCACCCCGUUGCCGAGACACCUCAGCGUCCCAGCCCGGUGUGUUUGUACACGCUGCAUAGAGUAAAAGACCCAACUUGUUUAACUCUG